GAAUCUUGCACAAUGGAGGAAACUCUGAUGCAGCGAUGCCGCGUGAGUGAAGAAGGCCUUUGGGUUGUAAAGCUCUUUUGUAGGGGAAGAUAAUGACUGUACCCUAAGAAUAAGGUCCGGCUAACUUCGUGCCAGCAGCCGCGGUAAUACGAAGGGACCUAGCGUAGUUCGGAAUUACUGGGCGUAAAGCGCGCGUAGGCCGUUGAGUUAGUUAAUUGUGAAAUCCCAAAGCUUAACUUUGGAACUGCAAUUAAAACUGCUCGACUAGAGUUUGAUAGAGGAAAGCGGAAUACAUAGUGUAGAGGUGAAAUUCGUAGAUAUUAUGUAGAACACCAGUUGCGAAGGCGGCUUUCUGGAUCAACACUGACGCUGAGGCGCGAAAGUAUGGGUAGCAAAGAGGAUUAGAUACCCUCGUAGUCCAUACCAUAAACGAUGAUUGCUAGAUGUUGGAAAUUUAUUUUCAGUAUCGCAGCUAACGCAUUAAGCAAUCCGCCUGGGGAGUACGACCGCAAGGUUAAAACUCAAAUGAAUUGACGG
rnacentral:rRNA from 1 species